rnacentral:rRNA from 2 species
AAAUUUGAAAUCUGGCGCAAGCCCGAGUUGUAAUUUGUAGAGGAUGCUUCUGGCCAGCGGCCGUUCUAAGUUCCUUGGAACAGGACGUCAUAGAGGGUGAGAAUCCCGUAUGUGACCGGCGCGCAGCCUUUACGUAGCUCCUUCGACGAGUCGAGUUGUUUGGGAAUGCAGCUCUAAAUGGGAGGUAAAUUUCUUCUAAAGCUAAAUACCGGCCAGAGACCGAUAGCGCACAAGUAGAGUGAUCGAAAGAUGAAAAGCACUUUGGAAAGAGAGUUAAAAAGCACGUGAAAUUGUUGAAAGGGAAGCGCUUGCAACCAGACUUCGUAGCGAUGUUCCGCUGGUCUUCUGACCGGUCUACUCAUCGUCGCGAGGCCAACAUCGUCUGGGCCCGCUGGAUAAGACCUAAGGAAUGUAGCUUCCCUCGGGAAGUGUUAUAGCCUGUGGUGAUGCAGCGCGGCUCGGGCGAGGUCCGCGCUUCGGCAAGGAUGUUGGCGUAAUGGUUGUCAGCGGCCCGUCUUGAAACACGGACCAAGGAGUCUAACAUCUAUGCGAGUGUUCGGGUGUCAAACCCCUACGCGUAAUGAAAGUGAACGGAGGUGGGAAGCGCAAGCUGCACCAUCGACCGAUCCUGAUGUCCUCGGAUGGAUUUGAGUAAGAGCAUAGCUGUUGGGACCCGAAAGAUGGUGAACUAUGCCUGAAUAGGGUGAAGCCAGAGGAAACUCUGG